rnacentral:rRNA from 1 species
GACAGAGGGUGCAAACGUUGUUCGGAAUCACUGGGCGUAAAGCGCGUGUAGGCUGCCCUGCAAGUCGGAUGUGAAAGCCCUCGGCUCACCCGAGGAAGAGCACCCGAAACUGCAGGGCUGGAGUCUCGGAGAGGAAGGUGGAAUGCUUGGUGUAGAGGUGAAAUUCGUAGAUAUCAAGCGGAACACCGGUGGCGAAGGCGGCCUUCUGGACGAUGACUGACGCUGAGACGCGAAAGCGUGGGGAGCAAACAGG